rnacentral:tRNA from 1 species
GCGUCCGUAGCUCAAUAGGUCGAGCAUCGCACUUUUAAUGCGAGGGUUGCAGGUUCGAGACCUGCCGGACGCA